rnacentral:rRNA from 1 species
CGGGGUAAAGUCAUCACCACACUUGUCAUGCUCAUUGCUUGGAGGAUAUGGAAUGAAAGAAAUGCACGCAUCUUCCGUAACCAUUCUUCAAUGCCGCCAAUCAUUUUUUCUAAGAUUCGAAGGAAGGUUGUAAAUUGGUGGAUGGCGGGGGCUAAACACCGAGUUUCAUCAUUCCACGAGAGUAAUCUAGUAGGAUUACUAUUUAAAAAUGAGAAACAUGGGUAG